UGGGGAAUAUUGGACAAUGGGCGAAAGCCUGAUCCAGCCAUGCCGCGUGUGUGAAGAAGGUCUUCGGAUUGUAAAGCACUUUAAGCUGGGAGGAAGGGCAGUAAGCGAAUACCUUGCUGUUUUGACGUUACCGACAGAAUAAGCACCGGCUAACUCUGUGCCAGCAGCCGCGGUAAUACAGAGGGUGCAAGCGUUAAUCGGAAUUACUGGGCGUAAAGCGCGCGUAGGUGGUUCGUUAAGUUGAAUGUGAAAGCCCCGGGCUCAACCUGCGAACUGCAUCCAAAACUGGCGAGCUAGAGUAGGGCAGAGGGUGGUGGAAUUUCCUGUGUAGCGGUGAAAUGCGUAGAUAUAAGAAGGAACACCAGUGGCGAAGGCGACCACCUGGGCUCAUACUGACACUGAGGUGCGAAAGCGUGGGGAGCAAACAGG
rnacentral:rRNA from 1 species